rnacentral:rRNA from 1 species
GAUAAAACCGGAUAGGAGAUUAGUUCUGGAAUGAUUUUUCUCUUAAAGGUAACGUCUUAGGAUGAGUCGGCGGCUGAUUAGGUUGUUGGCGGGGUAAUGGCCCACCAAGCCUACAAUCAGUAGGGGCCAUGAAAGUGGUAUCCUCGAGAAGGUCACUGAAAUACUGGACCUAGCCCUACGGGGUGCAGCAGGCGCGAAACCUUUACAAUGCACGCAAGUGUGAUAAGGGAACUCCAAGUGCCAUACUCACGUAUGGCUUUUGCCGAGAGUAAAUAUCUCGGAGAAUAAGUGGUGGGCAAGACCGGUGCCAGCAGCCGCGGUAACACCGGCGCCACAAGUGGGGACCAGUUUUAUUGGGCCUAAAGCGUUCGUAGCCGGUCAUGAAAAUCUUUUGUGAAAGCGUCUUGCUUAACUUGACGGAUUGCAGAAGACACUACAUGACUAGGGAUCGGGAGGGGUUUGGAGUAUUUUGUGGGGAGCGGUAAAAUGCAAUAAUCCACAAAAGACUACCUGUGGCGAAGGCGCCAAACCAGUACGAGUCCGACGGUGAGGGACGAGGGCUAGGGGAGCGAUCCGGAUUAGAUACCCGAGUAGUCCUAGCAGUAAACUCUGCGAGCUAGGUGUUGCACAAUUCACGAGAUUGUGCAGUGUCGAAAUGAAGAUGUUAAGCUCGCCGCCUGGGGAGUACGGUCGCAAGACUGAAACUUAAAGGAAUUGGCGGGGGA